UCGAGGAUCAUUCGCAAUGGACGAAAGUCUGACGAUGCGACGCUGCGUGGAGGAAGAAGGCCUUCGGGUUGUAAACUCCUGUCAUGAGGGAAAAAUAGCAAUGCGAUAACAUCAAGUUAACGGGAUGGUACCUCAAGAGGAAGCCACGGCUAACUCUGUGCCAGCAGCCGCGGUAAUACAGAGGUGGCGAGCGUUGUUCGGAUUUACUGGGCGUAAAGGGCGCGUAGGCGGCGAAGUGUGUGAGGUGUGAAAGCUCCGGGCUCAACCCGGAAAGUGCGCCUCAAACUGCUUUGCUAGAGUAUGGAAGGGGGAUGCGGAAUACAGGGUGUAGCGGUGAAAUGCGUUGAUAUCCUGUAGAACACCGGAGGCGAAGGCGGCAUCCUGGGACAUCACUGACGCUGAGGCGCGAAAGCAGGGGGAGCAAACA
rnacentral:rRNA from 1 species